GAAACGGGGGGCUUGUUGAAACAGGCUGAGAGUAAGCUGGAUUGCUUUGACCCGGAACCUGAUUUGGAUAAUGCCAACGUAGGGAUGACA
rnacentral:ncRNA from 1 species